rnacentral:rRNA from 1 species
UACGGAGGGUGCAAACGUUGCUCGGAAUUAUUGGGCGUAAAGCGCACGUAGGCGGUCUAGCAAGUCGGGUGUGAAAGCCCUCAGCUUAACUGAGGAAGUGCAUUCGAAACUACUAGGCUUGAGUACUGAAGAGGACGACGGAAUUCCCGGUGUAGAGGUGAAAUUCGUAGAUAUCGGGAGGAACACCAGUGGCGAAGGCGACUACCUGGCCCAUUCUUGACGCUGAGACGCGAAAGCGUGGGGAGCAAACAGG